UUAAAAUAUUACUGACUUUGAAAUCCUCUCUACCAUAUUCUACCAAUUUCCCAUCUUUUCUAUUUACCACAUUCCAUGUUCUCUCUCUUUUCCCUUAAUCAACAAAAAGUUUUGUUCGGGGCUUUGAGAGAUUCGUGGUCGAUAUCAAGAAAGACUUGGGUCUUUUCCUUAGUCAUUGGUGAGUCCUCAUGUUUGGGGAUGUUUCAAUAUUCAAACCUAGGUAUGAUGUUUCUUUUGUUUAAAAUAAUUCAUUUUUUCUUUUAUCAUUGAGACAAUUGAUGUAAGCCUAUAAUGGCGUAUUAUUCUUGUAUUGGCUAUGUCCAAAUAUUUGUAAACUUGUAGAUAGUUUAUAUGUGAAAUUAGACUUUAGACUCCUAUAUGUUUUAUUUAUGCUAAAAAAGAGGUCUAAGGAAAUUUCA